AUGUGUUUCAGAGCCCCGGCCUCCUGCUGGCGCUGUGCCCCCCUCUACGGGACGCCGCCCCCGCCUUCAGUCUCGCGCAGCAGCUGCUGCAGCGCUGCAGUGGAGACAGCAGCUGCGUUGUGCUCACAACAGAACACAUCUGCAAACUGAGAGCUGCCACAGGCGAGUUUAGUGAGAGCAGCGAGGCGUUGCGGUGCCUUACUUCGCCUGCUGCCGACCGCCUGCCUCCAUCGUCUGUAGGCCGCCUGCCACGACCUGCUUUUGUGGACUCCGUGCCUGCUGCAGUAUUAACGGCGUGCACGCUGCAGCAGCUGCCCUGCGUGACCUACGUCGUCUACACAGAGACCGUCUCCCCCUACGACGUCUCCGCCGUGGCUGGAGACCUGCGCCGGGCGCUGCGCUCCCACCAAGCCUGGAGGAAGCUCUCGGCGGCGAGCAGCAACAGAAGCGCAGGCUUGAACACUGAGCAGCAGGCGGGCACCCCGCGUAAGGGCGCCUCCAUACAAGUUCCUUUUAAUUAUAUCUGAAACU
rnacentral:lncRNA from 1 species